rnacentral:rRNA from 1 species
UACAGAGGUCCCGAGCGUUGUUCGGAUUCAUUGGGCGUAAAGGGUGCGUAGGCGGUCUUCUAAGUUUUGAUGUGAAAUCCCGGGGCUCAACCCUGGAAUUGCAUUGAAUACUGGAGGACUAGAGUACCGGAGAGGAAACUGGAAUUUACGGUGUAGCAGUGAAAUGCGUAGAGAUCGUAAGGAAGACCAGUGGCGAAGGCGAGUUUCUGGACGGUAACUGACGCUGAGGCACGAAGGCCAGGGGAGCAAACGGG